rnacentral:rRNA from 1 species
AUUGAACGCUGGCGGCAGGCCUAACACAUGCAAGUCGAGCGAGCGGCGGACGUGUGAGUUAUGUAUGGGGAUCUGCCUGGGGGAGGGGGAUCACUACUGGACACGAUAGCUGAUACCGUAUACCUUCAGCUGAACCGAUAUGGGAUUAGAUUGUAGGUGAGGUAACGGCGCACCAAGGCGACGAUCCCGAGCUGGUCUGAGAGGAUGAUCAGCCACACGGGAACUGAGACACGGCCCAGACUCCUACGGGAGGCAGCAGUGGGGAAUAUUGGACAAUGGGCGCAAACCUGAUCCAGCCAUGCCGCGUGUGUGAAGAAGGCCUUCGGGUUGUAAAGCACUUUCAGUCGGGUGGCGUUACCGACAGAAGAAGCACCGGCUAACUCCGUGCCAGCAGCCGCGGUAAUAC